CUCUAGUUCAGUCACGAGACAACCUCAGGAUACUAGAAUACCAGGAGCUCCCCAGGGAGAAAAGUUGCCAAAAUUUCGUUCGCGAAUUUCAAGUCUUCCUUCGCCUCUAAUGUCACCACUCUUCGGAGAAGGUUAUCAAGUGAGAAUGUCUCCUCUCCUUACGAUGACCGGCUCGACAAGGUUGACCCUGACGGUGAACUUGGCAUGCAAAAAUCCAGGAGGACACCUAGCCGUCCUCCCUCGAGGACGGGAGAGGGUACCCGGAGCAGGAAUCCGUCCUCGGAUAGAGGACACGAGUUAACCCGAUUGAGCGGAG